rnacentral:rRNA from 1 species
AGCCGAGUGGCAAACGGGUGAGUAACGCGUAGACAACCUGCCGCAAAGAUGGGGACAACAGUCCGAAAGGACUGCUAAUACCGAAUGUUGUCAGAUUCCCGCAUGGGAGACUGAUUAAAGAUGGCCUCUACUUGUAAGCUAUCGCUUUGCGAUGGGUCUGCGUCUGAUUAGCUGGUUGGUGGGGUAACGGCCUACCAAGGCGACGAUCAGUAGCCGGUCUGAGAGGAUGAACGGCCACAUUGGAACUGAGACACGGUCCAGACUCCUACGGGAGGCAGCAGUGGGGAAUCUUCCGCAAUGGGCGAAAGCCUGACGGAGCAACGCCGCGUGAGUGAAGAAGGGUUUCGGCUCGUAAAGCUCUGUUGACGGGGACGAAUGUGCGAAAUGCGAAUAGUUUUUCGCAAUGACGGUACCCGUCGAGGAAGCCACGGCUAACUACGUGCCAGCAGCCGCGGUAAUACGUAGGUGGCGAGCGUUGUCCGGAAUUAUUGGGCGUAAAGGGAGCGCAGGCGGGAAGGCAAGUCAGUCUUAAAAGUGCGGGGCUCAACCCCGUGAUGGGAUUGAAACUGUCUUUCUUGAGUGCAGGAGAGGAAAGCGGAAUUCCUAGUGUAGCGGUGAAAUGCGUAGAUAUUAGGAGGAACACCAGUGGCGAAGGCGGC